CUACGGGGUGCAGCAGUGAGGAAUAUUGCACAAUGGGGGGAACCCUGAUGCAGCAACGCCGCGUGGAGGAUGACGCAUUUCGGUGUGUAAACUCCUUUUAUAUGUCAAGGAAAUGACGGUAGCAUAUGAAUAAGCACCGGCUAACUCCGUGCCAGCAGCCGCGGUAAUACGGAGGGUGCAAGCGUUACUCGGAAUCACUGGGCGUAAAGGACGCGUAGGCGGGUUGGAAAGUCAGGUGUGAAAUCCUACAGCUUAACUGUAGAACUGCACUUGAAACUUCUAAUCUAGAGUAUGGGAGGGGGAGAUGGAAUUAGUGGUGUAGGGGUAAAAUCCGUAGAUAUCACUAGGAAUACCUAAAGCGAAGGCGAUCUCCUGGAACAUUAUUGACGCUGAGACGCGAAAGCGUGGGGAGCAAACAGGAUUAGAUACCCCAGUAGUC
rnacentral:rRNA from 1 species